CGGGGGGAGCAAGCGUUGUUCGGAUUUACUGGGCGUAAAGGGCGCGUAGGCGGUCAGCACAAGUCAGUUGUGAAAUCUCCGGGCUUAACUCGGAAAGGUCAACUGAUACUGUGCGACUAGAGUGCGGAAGGGGCAACUGGAAUUCUCGGUGUAGCGGUGAAAUGCGUAGAUAUCGAGAGGAACACCUGCGGCGAAGGCGGGUUGCUGGGCCGACACUGACGCUGAUGCGCGAAAGCCAGGGGAGCGAACGGGAUUAGAUACCCCGGUAGUCCUGGCCUUAAACGAUGGAUGCUUGGUGUCUGGAGUUUUAUAGUCUCCGGGUGCCGUAGCUAACGCGUUAAGCAUCCCGCCUGGGGAGUACGGUCGCAAGACUG
rnacentral:rRNA from 1 species